CACCCAUUUAGAACCGGAGUUCUAUCAUUAUAAAAUCGCUAUUGUAAUGUAAAUUAAUAUAUAAAAAAAUAUCAGUCUAAACCAGUCUCCCCUUGGCCCAUUUUUUCUCAUCAAAUUUUCUCCCGAAAUGACGUCAAAUGACGCGUUUGACGUCAUUUCGGGAGAAACCUCUCUUCCCGCUAGAUGGGCCGAGGACUACAACACACUUUUGGUGGCAAAUUUGCCGGAAAUUUUUCCACCAAUAAGGAAUGAGAGGGGGCGGGAGCUUGCACGCUUGCACGCUCAGCUCGCGGGAGGGAGCGUGUGACGGGAGACCGACACAAACCUCUGACCAUGGCAGAAGCAACAGCUGAGUUUGAAAAUAUAUUGCUGCAUUGUAAUAUUCAGGGCUAUUUGUAUGAGCCAGAAUACAGCGAGGAAGAACUGAGACGAAUAGAGGAGGAGGCUGCUGCGGCUGCAGCUGAACAAGCCUUGCCUGUUGCCGAGGAGCCGGAUCGCGCCGGAGUGAACUGGUGGUGUACCUGUUUGCUCUGUUCACCUAUGGAGACUCACAAAGAGUCCCUGUGCUGCAGCGAAUUUCAGCGAUGCCAGUUUCUUCGCGAUGAAAUGGCUGAAUCUGGCGAGGAAGGGGCCGUGUGUGUAACAUCUCACCCAGGCUUUACGCCUCUUCUGAACCGUUGGGUAUUGGACACUUAUUUCCGUACCCAGAAAGUCAACUGGAAACGCCAGCCAAAGCCCGCCGGGAGAAACGGACGUCUGAGCACAGAUAUAGGCUAACAUCUUAACGGCAUUUCCUGGAGUGGAUACUGCAAGGUGAGAGACUUGGGAGAGGCAAUCGCCUUGUUUUGCCAGCGUGUGUUGUCCAGGCCAUCAGGGCUAAUUACCCAACACAAGAUGGGCAGUACCGUGGCUACCAGGAGACGGUAGAUGCCCAAGAUGAGCUGUGAUAUUUAGCAAACUCACCAUACGUUUUGUUUUUGUAUAUAGUUUAUAUUUUAUGAAUUAAAACUUCAAAUUCAUGUUGGUUGUUGUGAUUUGUUUACUAUACCAAAUGAUGUUACACUAAAGUAGGCCUGCUGUAUAAGAUGAACACUUAUUUCAACUGGGGAGAAAAGGUUUACAUAUAGCCUACUUGAUAUGCUGAAAUACUGUAAUUAGCAAAUGUUUGAUGUACAGUAAUAUACAAAUGAUACCUAAAAUAAUUAUAAAUCUAUUCUUGCUACAUUCAUACAUGAUGGCUGUAUGUUGAACCUACUUUGCAA
rnacentral:lncRNA from 1 species